GUCUGAGUGGCAUAGUGAUCAAUGCACAGCUCCGAUUAGGCGCGAGACGCGGGUUCGAAUCCCGCCUGAGACG
rnacentral:tRNA from 1 species